CAGUAGCCACGGUAAUACGGAGGGUGCAAGCGUUAAUCGGAAUUACUGGGCGUAAAGCGCACGCAGGCGGUUUGUUAAGUCAGAUGUGAAAUCCCCGGGCUCAACCUGGGAACUGCAUCUGAUACUGGCAAGCUUGAGUCUCGUAGAGGGGGGUAGAAUUCCAGGUGUAGCGGUGAAAUGCGUAGAGAUCUGGAGGAAUACCGGUGGCGAAGGCGGCCCCCUGGACGAAGACUGACGCUCAGGUGCGAAAGCGUGGGGAGCAAACAGGAUUAGAUACCCGAGUAGUCCCUGUCUCUUAUAC
rnacentral:rRNA from 1 species